rnacentral:lncRNA from 1 species
CGGGGACCCCGUGGCCCGUGGCCGGUGGUCCAUGCGUCGUCCCCUCCCGCCGAUCCACCGAUCGAUCGAUCGCUCGCCUAGCUACUACUACUGGAGAGUGGAGAUCGACGAUCCCUGGCCCUUCUACGGGCAAACUUAAAGCGUCGUCCCCCCGUGACCGAUAGGCCUAGCUACCUGCCGCCUGAUGAUGCUUUGCUUACCGCCCAACCUACCUAGCCACAAAACGUUCGCC